rnacentral:sRNA from 1 species
ACUGCACUCACAUUGUGUAAAUAACACACACGUAUCGACACAUCCGCCGGGGUGCCUUGAGAUGGCUCACGUCAUUGUCCGGGUCGGCGUUAUGGGAUACGUGGAGGCAUAACC